CCUACGGGAGGCUGCAGUGGGGAAUAUUGGACAAUGGGGGCAACCCUGAUCCAGCCAUGCCGCGUGUGUGAAGAAGGCCCUCGGGUUGUAAAGCACUUUCAGCGAGGAAGAACGCCUGGUGGUUAAUACCCAUCAGGAAAGACAUCACUCACAGAAGAAGCCCCGGCUAACUCCGUGCCAGCAGCCGCGGUAAUACGGAGGGUGCGAGCGUUAAUCGGAAUUACUGGGCGUAAAGCGCGCGUAGGUGGCUUGAUAAGCCGGUUGUGAAAGCCCCGGGCUCAACCUGGGAACGGCAUCCGGAACUGUCAAGCUAGAGUGCAGGAGAGGAAGGUAGAAUUCCCGGUGUAGCGGUGAAAUGCGUAGAGAUCGGGAGGAAUACCAGUGGCGAAGGCGGCCUUCUGGACUGACACUGACGCUGAGGUGCGAAAGCGUGGGUAGCGAACAGGAUUAGAUACCCGGGUAGUC
rnacentral:rRNA from 1 species